GACGAACGCUGGCGGCGUGCCUAAUACAUGCAAGUAGAACGCUGAAGAGAGGAGCUUGCUCUUCUUGGAUGAGUUGCGAACGGGUGAGUAACGCGUAGGUAACCUGCCUUGUAGCGGGGGAUAACUAUUGGAAACGAUAGCUAAUACCGCAUAACAAUGGAUGACACAUGUCAUUUAUUUGAGAGGGGCAAUUGCUCCACUACAAGAUGGACCUGCGUUGUAUUAGCUAGUAGGUGAGGUAAUGGCUCACCUAGGCGACGAUACAUAGCCGACCUGAGAGGGUGAUCGGGCCACACUGGGACUGAGACACGGGUCCAAACUCCUAACGGGAGGCAGCAGUGGGGAAUAUUGCACAAAUGGGCGAAAGCCUGAUGCAGC
rnacentral:rRNA from 1 species